GAUUCCCCUAUGCUAACGGCGAGUGAAGAGGGAAGAGCCCAAGUUUGAAAGCUGGCGUUUGUAUUCAGGCGUCUGCAUUGUAAACUCGAGAAGUGUUAUCCGUGCCGGACCAGGUUCAAGUCCCUUGGAAUAGGGCAUCAUAGAGGGUGAAAGUCCCGUACUUGAUCUGGAACCCCCGGGGCUUUGUGAUGCACUCUCAAAGAGUCGAGUUGUUUGGGAAUGCAGCUCAAAAUGGGUGGUAAAUGCCAUCUAAGGCUAAAUAUCGAGGAGAGACCGAUAGCGAACAAGUACCGUGAGGGAAAGAUGAAAAGAACUUUGGAAAGAGAGUUAAACAGUACGUGAAAUUGCCGGAAGGGAAGGGUAGGAAGUCAGACAUGCCUUUGCAGAUUCAGCCUUGUCUUUGGACUUGGUGCAUUUUUGUAAUGGCAGGCCAGUGUCGGUUUGUGCCGCCAGAUAUAGGUUUAGGGAAUGUGGCUUUGCUUUUGGGCAAAGUGUUAUAGCCCUUUACUGAGUAUGGCGGUGUGGACCGAGGAACGCAGCGCACCCAUUAGGGCAGGCCUUUGGGCACCUUUGCGCUUAGGAUGCUGGCUUAAUGGCUUUCUGCCCCCGUCUUGAAACACGGACCAAGGAGUCUAACAUGCAUGCGAGUCUUUGGGUGGUAAACCCAUGGGCGAAAUGAAAGUGAAUUUUAAGGUGGGAUCCCUUGCGGGUGCACCAUCGGCCAACACUGAAACCUUUCAUGGGGAUGAGUUUGAGCAGGAGCAUUUAUGUUGGGACCCGAAAGAUGGUGAACUAUGCCUGAAUAGGGUGAAGCCAGGGGAAACUCUGGUGGAGGCUCGUAGCGGUUCUGACGUGCAAAUCGAUCGUAAAAUUUGGGUAUAGGGGCGAAAGACUAAUCGAACCAUUAACAUCUAGGUGGUUAAGAGGCAGUUCAAAGUACUGUCUAGUGGGUGGAGGCCUGCGACACUUCCAAAUUGUUCGGGGACAUCCUUAGAGCUCAAGCUACCGCAGCUCUGUCGUGAGGCAGAGUGCGCACCAGGGUAAUGACCUCGGGUAUGGUAACAACGCUUGAGAUUGGAUAAUCCGCAGCCAAGCCUCUUUUCAAAAGGAAAAAAGAGGAAGGUUCAUCGACUAUAUGGUAGUGGGUCUUUUCUAACAGAAAAGGUCUAAGAUAGAGUCAAUCCUCUUGCGAAAGUGAGCUGGUGGAUGAAAGAUUGAGAUUCCUCACAUUCAAAAUCUCUUUCCAGAGCCACUGGGAGUAGUAGUGCGCUUCGGCACAUGUGCUGCUUUGGACUACAUGCUAGUAGCUGGUUCCUGCCGAAGUUUCCCUCAGGAUAGCAGAAACUUAAAUCAGAUUUACGUGGUAAAGCGAAUGAUUAGAGGCCUUGGGGAUGUAACAUCCUUAACCUAUUCUCAAACUUUAAAUGUGUA
rnacentral:rRNA from 1 species